rnacentral:rRNA from 1 species
AAAAAUCAAAACGACUCUCGGCAACGGAUAUCUCGGCUCUCGCAUCGAUGAAGAACGCAGCAAAAUGCGAUACUUGGUGUGAAUUGCAGAAUCCCGUGAAUCAUCGAGUUUUUGAACGCAAGUUGCGCCCGAAGCCUUCCGGCCAAGGGCACGUCUGCCUGGGUGUCACGC